rnacentral:rRNA from 1 species
GAUGAACGCUAGCGGCAGGCCUAACACAUGCAAGUCGAGGGGUAGUUACUUUCGGGUAAUGAGACCGGCGCACGGGUGCGUAACGCGUAUGCAAUCUACCUUUUACAGGGGAAUAGCCCAGAGAAAUUUGGAUUAAUGCCCCAUAGUAUGUAUGAAUCGCAUGGUUUAUACAUUAAAGUUCCAACGGUAAAAGAUGAGCAUGCGUCCCAUUAGUUAGUUGGUAAGGUAACGGCUUACCAAGACGAUGAUGGGUAGGGGUCCUGAGAGGGAGAUCCCCCACACUGGUACUGAGACACGGACCAGACUCCUACGGGAGGCAGCAGUGAGGAAUAUUGGACAAUGGGCGCAAGCCUGAUCCAGCCAUGCCGCGUGCAGGAAGAAGCAUCUAUGGUGUGUAAACUGCUUUUGUACAGGAAGAAACACUCCCUCGUGAGGGAGUUUGACGGUACUGUAAGAAUAAGGAUCGGCUAACUCCGUGCCAGCAGCCGCGGUAAUGUACAG